GCUGGCGCGUGACGCCGGGAGGCCGGGCGCUUUCCCGCCGGCGGUGCCCGCGGGCCGGGAGGCUGCGGGGCGCUGGCGCCGAGCCCCGGUGAAGGGCGCCGGCGAGCGCGCGGGCUGCCGGGGACGAGCGGUUGCGUCCGCGCGGCGCCGCCGGGAUGAACCUUCUUCGUGCCAGGAUCCACGCUAAAGAACGUUCCUGCUCUCCUCCCAGCUGGUCUGAACAUCUCCCACUAAAAAAUGCUCCCAUGAUGCACUGUGGCGCUUCUUACCUUGUAGCUUGUAUUGCUAUUUGAAAAAAAGCAUUGCAGCAUUUUCACACCAUGUGGUCCUGCCUACUCCUACCUCUUUCUGUGCACCGUGGUGGAACUUAAAAAGGGACCCAGAAACCAAUGAGAUUUUCCCCCUCUCCCCAGUUCAUACAAGCAGUCUUCUUUCCUGCUGUGCAUCGGGGAAUUGAUUUGGCCUAAGGCCAGGAUAAAGUCUCGAGGUUGGAAAAGGUCUUUGGGGAAGGUGUUGAGUUUUGAGCUCUGCAAUGAUCUUUGAAUGAGGGAAUGAUAUUUUUCUGGGUAUCAGCCUGCUGAGGUUUGAAAGCACAAAGAACAAGAUUUGACUUCUAAGAUCCAAGUGUUUAAGGUAGAUAACUUAGAUGUAAGAGGCUCUUUUCUGGGUAAGGUGGUUUUGUUUUUCUGUUGAGAGUGCUGAGGAGGAAGCUUUUACAAGCUAUUGGAGACUGUGUUAUCAGCGAGACUUUGGGCACCUGGGCAGCUUUCUCUAGCAUUUUUCCAUUCUGAAGACAGCUGCACCUCUACCUGCUCUGGGACAUCUGGCAGCCAUUUGCACAGCUGCUGCUGGACUUCCACCUCUACCUCUCCAGGCAGAUGAGUCAGAUCUUCCCAUAGGAAAUUUUUGGCAAGUGAAAAAGCUUGUGAAAAACUGUCCUUUGUGAUUAGAGACCUUGAACCAGUAGGGAUGCAGCCUCUUGAAAAGGAGGAUCAUAAAUGGAUGUGCCUGACAAAAAUCAGCAAGAUAUUUUAUCCACUUGCAAACUUACCUUCUUCCAAAGAACAUGGAAUUAAACAGAUCCGUUUGUUCAUGAUGUGGAUGUGAAAAUAGACAGCACUGAAGAGCUGUUCUAAACAUCGACAUUUGAAAAGAAGUUGGUCAAAUCCCUACUCAGAGGAUGGAAAAGAUGGCCUUCAAGAAGUGAUAUUCUGGUAAAUUCUGUGCCCUUCACAUGUCAGAACCUUUUCUUGAAAGGAGCUGGGUACAAUCCCCAGGUAUAGAGAACAUGGAGAGAGGACAUGUAUAGAUCAGGAUCCAGGGGAAAAUGAGUUCUUAAUAUUUCCUACAUCCUUUGAGUAAAAUAAGUAUAAAAAUAUGUUGAAUGAGACGUCGUUCUCCCUGGUCUGCUUUCUUUCUCUGACCAGCUUUCUCCUCUCUUUGUUGCUCACCUUACACUUCUGUGAUUCCUCUGCCUCCACACUUAGGGGCCUCAACUCUGUUGGUUUGGAACUGUCUUUCCAACUGCCUCCUGGCAAAUUCCACAUAUGUCCCUUCCAUCUCCAAGGGACCCACCUCUUUUUCUUGACAGCCUCUGUCUCAUGCACCUUAUGUUGAUGCCAGGAUAGUGGGACAAUGAAGAAAACAGGAAUUCCAAGAAGGACAAGCCUGUGGCAGUUGGGUGAUGGGCUUUUAGGGAUUCUUCAUUUUUCCUUAAAUUUUCAGUACUUCCCAGACUCCCUGUAGAAAAUGUUUUACUUUUUAUAGUAAGUAAACUCAUUUCAAAAAUCAUGCAAGAAAGUAUGCAUUGGUAAUUGUGGUCAUGAGUACAACAGUGAGCCUAUGAGUCAGUAAUAAAGGAAAACAUUUUAUCUUGACCAUUUCCUAUCUUACCUAAGAAUAGGAAUUGGCAAGGGGGCCAGGGCAAGGAUGGGGGAAGGAACUGGGCAUGCCCACCUACUGUAUCUGAGUGCUUGAGUUUGAGUUCCUGCUUCUAGAAAGUCAUUCCAGCUUCCAGCUAGAAAAGAGGCAGCAGGUGAUGGGUCAAGUAAUUGAGUUCCUGCCACCUACAUGAGAGACUUGGACUGGGUUCCCAGCUCCCAGCUUUAACCCAGUCCAUCCCUGGCAAUUGUGGGCAUUUGGGAAGUGAACCACUGGAUAGGGUGCUCUUUCUUGCUCUUCCUUUCAAAAAAGAAUAAACUUUAAAAAGGGGGAUAUGGUGGGUAUUGUGGUACAGCAGGUUAUUUUGCCCACAUCCCAUUUCUGAAUGCCUGAGAUUGAAUCCCACCUCCACUUCCUAUCCAGCUUCAAACUAAUGUGCACCCUGAGAGGCAGCAGAUAGUAGCUCAAGUACCUGGGUCCCUGCCACCCAUGUGUGAGAUUCUGAUGGAGUUCCUGGCUUUCAACUUUAGCCUGGCCCACCCACCACCUGGCUGUUGCAGGGAUUUGGGGAGUGAACCAGUGGAUGAAAGAUCUCACUCUUGCUCUGCCUUUCAAAUAAUCAAUAAAUACAUAAAUAAGCUUUAAAAAUCCAGUCUUAAGUGAAAAUGUCACUUCUGGAACUGGGGUAUCCCAAUCCAACACUUGCCCUUUGUUCAUUCACAAAAUAAAUAUGAGCAUCUGUUAUGGUCAGGCAUUGUGGGGUGAGCAAAAGCAGGUAAAUGCCUUCCUCCUGGAGCUCCCCCCACCCCCAGUCUGACACCCUGUGUUGUUUUCGAGUAUUUUUCAAGUGUCUAUUGGCUAUUUAUACACUUUGUUUUCUUAAAUGUGUAUUCAAAUCUUUUACCCUUUUUUAAAAAAGGGAUCAUUUGUCAUCUAAUUGGAUUGUGUGAGUUCUUUAUUUAUCUGGAUUCAACCCUUUGUUAGGUACACAUAUUGGGAAUAUUUCCUUCCAGUCUGUGACUUGCCUUUUCAUUUUCUUUUGAAAAGAUGUUUUCAAUUUCUAAAAAUAGUUUAUUUAUUUAAGACAGAGAGACAGCAAUCCCAUCCACUGGUUCACUCCCCAAAUGGCCACAAUGGCUGAAUCUGGGUUGGGGUUGAAAUCUGGAGGCCAAAAUGCAAAUUAGCCACAUUGGCCUCAGGGACCCAACCCCUGCAGCCUUCACCUGCUGCUUCCCGGGUGCCUAUUAGCAGGGUUGGGAAAGGAGUGAAUUGAAACCAGGUGCUCUGCUACUCAAGUGGGUUGUGGGUGUCUUAACUGCUAGCCUAAACACCUACUGCCAUAUAUAUAUAUAUAUAUUUUUUUUUUUUUUUUUUGACAGAGUGGACAGUGAGAGAGAGAAAGGUCUUCCUUUUUCCGUUGGUUCACCCUCCAAUGGCCGCUGUGGGAGGUGCACCGUGCUGAUCCGAAGCCAGGAGCCAGGUGCUUCUCCUGGUCUCCCAUUCAGGUGCAGGGCCCAAGCACUUGGGCCAUCCUUCACUGCACUCCCUGGCCACAGCAGAGAGCUGGACAGGAAGUGGAGCAACCGGGACAGAACUGGCGCCCCUACCGGGACUAGAACCCAGUGUGCUGGUGCUGCAGGCAGAGGAUUAGCCUAUUGAGCCAUGAUGCCGGCCCUGCCAUAUAUUUUUAAUUUUGAUGAAUAGAAGAAUUUUUGUUGUUUAUGCUUUUCUGUCAUACUGAAGAAUUUUGGUUUACCCACAGAGUACUAAAUGGUUCCCUCUCAUUUUUCCUCUUGAGUCUUUAUGAUCUAGCAUUUAUGUUGAGGUCUGUAUCAUAUUUUGAGUUAAUUUAUGCAUAUGAUGUGAAGUAAAUGUGGAGCUUUGUCGUCCCCCACCCAGCCCCACCAAUGGGAUAUCCGGUUGUCCCAGCACUAAUUGUUGAAAAAGCUGAUAAUUGGUCAUGCAUGUGUGGAUCUGUUUCUGUACUGUGGUUCCUUCAUCUGUAUGUCCAUCUCACAUAUAAAUGCCACAUGUCUUAAUUUCUCUGGUAAUUCAAGUAAAUCUAUUAGUGUAAAUCUCCAACAUGGUUCUUCUUUUAAAAAAAUCUGUUUAUGAUUCCAUAAUCUUGAAUUUCUUUGAAAAUUUCAGAAUCAGCUUGUUAAUGGUAAGUGAAAACAAGACAACACAAGAAGCCUGCUGAGAUUUUGAUUCGGUUUCCAUUGAAUUUAUAAAUCAGUUUGGGAGAUAUUAAGUCUUCUUAUCUGUGAAGACAAUUUAUCUUUUUAUUUAUUUAGAUCUUCAGUUUCUCUUAGCAAUGUUUGCUGAGAUCUCAACAUGUCUUGCACAUAUUUUGCUAAAUUUAUCCCAGGAUAAUUCAUGUUUUGGUGUGCUAUAUUGUUUUUAAAAUUUAUUUCCAGUUAUUUGUUUCUAAUAGAGAAAUGUUAUUGACUUUGUAUAUUCAUCUUGUGUUCUGCAAUCUUGUAUAUGCUUAUUAGUCCUAGGAGCUUUUUUUUAAGUUAUUUCCUCAAGACUUUCUAUGGAUGUGAUUAUGUCUUUUGGGAAUAAAGACAGCCACUGUGUAAGUCUGUUGUUUAGUUUUCUCGUUUGCACUGACCAAUCCACCAUUACAGUGUUACAAAUAAAAGCAGUGAGAAUAGA